AGAACGAACGCUGGCGGCGUGCUUAACACAUGCAAGUCGAACGCGAAAGGGACUUCGGUCCUGAGUAAAGUGGCGCACGGGUGAGUAACGCGUAGAUAACCUGUCUUCAUGUCUGGAAUAAUACGCCGAAAGGGGUACUAAUACCGGAUAUUCUUGCUUUUCAUAAGUUAUGCAAGCAAAGGUGGCCUCUGCAUAUGCUACUGCAUGAAGAGGGGUCUGCGUACCAUUAGCUAGUAGGUGGGGUAAUGGCCUACCUAGGCGACGAUGGUUAGCGGGUCUGAGAGGAUGAUCCGCCACACUGGCACUGGAACACGGGCCAGACUCCUACGGGAGGCAGCAGUGAGGAAUAUUGCGCAAUGGGGGAAACCCUGACGCAGCGACGCCGCGUGAGUGAAGGAAGGCCUUCGGGUCGUAAAGCUCUGUCAAGAGGAAAGAAGUGUAUAAUGGCUAAUACCUGUUGUAUUUGACGGUACCUCUAAAGGAAGCACCGGCUAACUCCGUGCCAGCCGCUGC
rnacentral:rRNA from 1 species